rnacentral:rRNA from 1 species
AACGAACGCUGGCGGCAGGCUUAACACAUGCAAGUCGAACGCCCCGCAAGGGGAGUGGCGCACGGGUGAGUAAUACUUGGGAACGUGCCUUUCAGUCCGGAAUAACUGCGGGAAACUGCAGCUAAUAUCGGAUAUUCUCUCCGGAGGAAAGAUUUAUCGCUGAAAGAUCGGCCCAAGCCAGAUUAGGUAGUUGGUGGGGUAAAAGCCUACCAAGCCUACGAUCUGUAGCUGGUCUGAGAGGACGACCAGCCACACUGGAACUGAGACACGGUCCAGACUCCUACGGGAGGCAGCAGUGGGGAAUAUUGGACAAUGGGGGAAACCCUGAUCCAGCCAUGCCGCGUGAAUGAUGAAGGCCUUAGGGUUGUAAAGUUCUUUUGUCAGGGAAGAUGAUGACGGUACCUGAAGAAUAAGCACCGGCUAACUUCGUGCCAGCAGCCGCCGUAA